rnacentral:rRNA from 1 species
CGGAAAGAGACUUCGGUCAAUGGAAGCUUUGACUUAGUGGCGGACGGGUGAGUAACGCGUGAGGAACCUGCCUUUCAGUGGGGGACAACAGUUGGAAACGACUGCUAAUACCGCAUAAGCCCACGGCCCGGCAUCGGGCUGAGGGAAAAGGAUUUAUUCGCUUCAGGAUGGACUCGCGUCCAAUUAGCUAGUUGGUGAGGUAACGGCCCACCAAGGCUGCGAUCAGUAGCCGGACUGAGAGGUUGAACGGCCACAUUGGGACUGAGACACGGCCCAGACUCC